rnacentral:rRNA from 1 species
UACGUAGGGGGCAAGCGUUGUCCGGAUUUAUUGGGCGUAAAGAGCGUGUAGGCGGCUAGGUAGGUCCGUUGUGAAAACUCGAGGCUCAACCUCGAGACGCCGGUUGAAACCAUCUGGCUAGAGUCCGGAAGAGGAGUGUGGAAUUCCCGGUGUAGCGGUGAAAUGCGCAGAUAUCAGGAAGAACACCCGUGGCUAAGGCGGCUCUCUAGUACGGUACUGGACGCUGAGACGCGAAAGCGUGGGGAGCGAACAGG